UUCGGGUCUAGCGGCGGACGGGUUAGUAACGCGUGGGAACGUACCCUUCACUACGGAAUAGUCCCGGGAAACUGGGUUUAAUACCGUAUACGCCCUUCGGGGGAAAGAAUUUCGGUGAUGGAUCGGCCCGCGUUAGAUUAGAUAGUUGGUGGGGUAAUGGCCUACCAAGUCUACGAUCUAUAGCUGGUUUGAGAGGAUGAUCAGCAACACUGGGACUGAGACACGGCCCAGACUCCUGCGGGAGGCAGCAGUGGGGAAUCUUAGACAAUGGGCGAAAGCCUGAUCUAGCCAUGCCGCGUGAGUGAUGAAGGCCCUAGGGUCGUAAAGCUCUUUCGCCAGGGAUGAUAAUGACAGUACCUGGUAAAGAAACCCCGGCUAACUCCGUGCCAGCAGCCGCGGUAAUACGGAGGGGGUUAGCGUUGUUCGGAAUUACUGGGCGUAAAGCGCGCGUAGGCGGAUUGGAAAGUUGGGGGUGAAAUCCCGGGGCUCAACCCCGGAACUGCCUCCAAAACUAUCAGUCUAGAGUUCGAGAGAGGUGAGUGGAACUCCGAGUGUAGAGGUGAAAUUCGUAGAUAUUCGGAAGAACACCAGUGGCGAAGGCGGCUCACUGGCUCGAUACUGACGCUGAGGUGCGAAAGUGUGGGGAGCAAACACGAUUAGAUACCCUGGUAGUCCACACCGUAAACGAUGAAUGCCAGUCGUCAGGGGGCUUGCCCU
rnacentral:rRNA from 1 species